GAAACCGCUACCAACGACUGGAAGAAGGCGUCCAGCGUCCAAAUAAACAUUAAGAGUUUUCUCUACUGUUAAAUUCAAACAUUAUAUCAUUAAACGUUUUAUAUAUGAUUGAUCGAUACUUAUAAACGCCGAAAUUAUUGAACUUGUAUAAUACAUGUAUAUGAUCUUCAGUUGGUAAAAAAUUUUAUCAUGAAAGGUUUUAUAUUUGAUUGAUUCUUAUAAACGCCAAAAUUAUUGAACUUGUAUAAUACAUGUAUAUGAUCUUCAGUUGGUAAUAAAUUUUAUCAUUAAAGGU
rnacentral:misc_RNA from 1 species